rnacentral:rRNA from 1 species
AUGGGGAGCGACACGGAGACGGAGAAGAAGAAGACCCCGGUGGCGCUGGCGCCCAUCGCCAAGCCGCUCGCCGGCAAGAAGCUCUCCAAGAAAACCCUCAAGCUCGUUCGCCGAGCCUCGGAGGCCAAGUGCCUGAAGCGCGGGGUCAAGGAGGUGGUCAAGAGCAUCCGUCGUGGGAGCAAAGGGUUGUGUGUAAUUGCUGGAAACAUCUCUCCUAUCGAUGUGAUUACACAUCUUCCCAUACUUUGUGAGGAAGCCAAUGUCCCAUACAUAUAUGUGAGCUCAAAAGAGGAGCUUGCGACCGCGGGGACCACCAAGAGGCCUACCUGCUGCGUUUUGGUGAUGACCAAGCCAGCCAAGGGGGAGAUCACUGAAGAGGUGAAGGAGAAACUGGAAUCGGAAUACAAGCAGGUUGUAACUGAAGUCACUGAGGCUACAUCAGCUCUGUUCUGA